GAACGUCGUGAGACAGUUCGGUCCAUAUCCGGUGUAGGCGUUAGAGUAUUGAGAGGAUCUCUCCUUAGUACGAGAGGACCGGGAGAGACGCACCGCUGGUGUACCAGUUAUCAUGCCAAUGGUAAACGCUGGGUAGCUAUGUGCGGAACAGAUAACUGCUGAAAGCAUCUAAGUAGGAAGCUAGCCUCAAGAUGAGUACUCUCAUCGUUUUAAACGAGUAAGAUCACGGUAAGACUAACCGUUAAUAGGCACUAGGUGUAAAU
rnacentral:rRNA from 1 species